rnacentral:rRNA from 1 species
CUCUGGGAUAAGCCUUGGAAACGGGGUCUAAUACCGGAUAUCACAACUUCAGGCAUCUGGGGUUGUUGAAAGUUCUGGCGGUGCAGGAUGAACCCGCGGCCUAUCAGCUUGUUGGUGGGGUAAUGGCCUACCAAGGCGACGACGGGUAGCCGGCCUGAGAGGGUGACCGGCCACACUGGGACUGAGACACGGCCCAGACUCCUACGGGAGGCAGCAGUGGGGAAUAUUGCACAAUGGGCGAAAGCCUGAUGCAGCGACGCCGCGUGAGGGAUGACGGCCUUCGGGUUGUAAACCUCUUUCGCCAGGGACGAAGCGCAAGUGACGGUACCUGGAUAAGAAGCACCGGCUAACUACGUGCCAGCAGCCGCGGUAAUACGUAGGGUGCGAGCGUUGUCCGGAAUUAUUGGGCGUAAAGAGCUCGUAGGCGGUUUGUCGCGUCGGCCGUGAAAUCUCCACGCUUAACGUGGAGCGUGCGGUCGAUACGGGCAGACUUGAGUUCGG